rnacentral:rRNA from 1 species
AUGCCUAAUAUACCUAGUUUAACACGUAUCUAUUUUAAUUCUGUUCUUUAUCUUACUAGUUUUUUCUUCACCAAAUUGCCCGAAGCUUAUGCCAUUUUCAAUCCAACGGCGGAUAUUAGGCCUGUUAUACCUCUAUUCGUUUUUCUAUUAGCCUUUGUUUGGCAAGCUGCUUGA